GGUGAGAUGGCGAGCGAGCAAAACCGUAUUCCGCGUACCGUUUGUUGCGGCGAACACAGGCGACGCACAGAGCAGUCACUAGGGCGCCGACGAACACGACGCAGCCGAGUACCACGACGCCCACCUCGAGAGUUGAUAGCAGAUCUGGCGAUAAAUGCAGUUCCUGGAAGGUGCAGUUUUGGUUCAUGUGGAUGGUGUGCCGGAGGAUCCGGUUCAGGUCGAGCAGGAUCAGCUUGAAGAAUUUGCAGUAGAGCGUGGCUGAUCCUGAGUUCCUGGUAUUUCGGUAAAAUCAUUGGCAACAUCUUAUAAGCAACGCAAUAAAAGAAGAAGAUAAAAAGAAUAUUUUUUACACUUUUAACACACUUGUAACAUUUUUGUCGCGUUACAUUUAGCACUGUAAAUGUGUCAAUUUUACAUAAAAUUUGCUUCAGAGUAGUAUUGGUGUUGAUCUUUUUCAUAUCAGUUCUCCUGACGUAAUAUUUGCGUUAUUUUCUAACAUAUUAGCCUUGUGAUAAAUUAACACAAGCAUUCUGGAGGCAUGUAGGGUAUGAUAAAUUUAACAGUUUUUUACUGUACUGUAAAAACUGAUGUGUUAAAUUUAACAUUUCAUGUGUCCCAAA